rnacentral:pre_miRNA from 1 species
UGUGCACUAGGGGGGUUGCUUAGCCUGGAUUGCAAGAGGGUGUAGGCCAGGCCUAGGGACCCCACCAGUGCACG